UGGACCGAUGGUGACGACUGGUGACAUAGCAGUUGUUGAUGACGAAUGACACAUCUGGAACUCCGUGAUCCAA